ensembl:lncRNA
GGGGGAGGCGGGGGCCGUCCCGUCGGUUUCCGCGGGCGGGGGCGUAGGGCCGGGGGGAGCGGCCGGGGGAGCUCGGCGGCCGCCGUCUUACGACAGAUCCUGGAAAGAGGAUCAAGGUGGGGCCCGCCCCGCCGCGCACCGCCGGCAACCGACGGGGCGGCCCGGGCUCGGCCGCUGGGAGCACGGCGGAGAGCUGCAGGCGGCGAGGUGCCCUCCCGUCGGGGCCGCGCUGCGCUGCCCGGCCCGAGGGGCUGUUUACCCGGGCGGGGGGAGGCAGAUAAGGCGGAGGGGAAAUGCCGGGGCUGUUUGCUGAGGGAUUAGGGCCGGUCCCGCCGCGCCGGGGCCCGGGAUGGGGGUGGGGUGGGGGGGCGGCGGGCGCGGUGGGUGUCCCCGCGGAGAAGUCCGUUUGGAGAUCUGCGCUGAUUAACUGAGGGCUGCGGUGGCUGAAGAGGGCCCUGGCGCCAGGCGGCUGAGCCCUCACAAUAAAGACCCGUCUCUUGUCACUUCAUAUUUACCCCCAAAUCUUCAAAAAGCGCCCUGCGAUCCUUACAAGGCUCCUGCCCCCGCCGCCUGCGCUGCGGCCAGACGGGACGGGGACGGGGGGGCGGAGGCGGCCCCCUCCUCUGCCCACGGCUCCGCGGGUGCGCAGCGACGCGCUGCCUUCCUGGGGACCGCGCUGGGCCGCUCCCCGCGGAGGGUGAGACGCGGGGACCCCCGGCAGCCCUCUCCCCACCGCCACCUCUCCGCUGUUUCUCCCCACAUCGUGGUUCAUCGUGCUGCCAGCAAACCCCGGUGCUGCGAAGGGCCCGAGGAGAAGCCCCGGAGGCGGCCGCAUCCCGCCCCGUCCCGCGGCAGGUUCACCUCCAGCCGUCGCCUCCCGACGGGGCGGACACAGCGCGGCCACCGCGGAGCUGCCCUCACCGCCCCGGCCGCCGCGCGGGGCUGAGGGGGGUGUGUGUGUCUGGGGGGGGGGGGAUCGGUCCCGCUGACCAUUGAACGGGGCGAGGUGGCGAGCGGGGAUUGAAAUUUAGACCUCAUUUGGACUUUGCUUCCUCGCCACCGUCGAAAUGUGCUGACUGCAGCUUUGGCAAAAAUGGGGCUUGCUUGGGCUUUUUUUUUCCCUUUUUUUUUUCCCCCUCCCCUCCAAG